rnacentral:antisense_RNA from 1 species
AGCAAAGCUGCACCGCCAUUUCCUGUGCUUGGGAACUGGAGGCAAGCUACCGCACAUCAACACGGUAGAGACUGUGACGUUUGCUCAACAUCAAGUGAAGGCAUUUGGGAGUAAGUUUCACAACAGAAGACAGGCUCAGAAGCAGAUCAUCUGAGUCGGGGGAGAGAGGCAGCAACUAGUCAGGCUCCCUCGAAUCCCAGGCUGUGAUUAUUAUCUGCAGCCUCUGUCACCCAGGAUGAAAGGGGAUGGAAAAGCCGUGCAUAUCCUUGGUGACAAAGCCACUCCUGCUCUUAAAGGCUGGAGCAGGACGUCUGACACAAUCCCAGGUCUCCGUGGAGGCAGGGGCAUGGCCGGCAGCUGUAGACCACAGCCUCUGGGCUCUGGCGUGGAGGAAGAAAAGGAAACCAGCACAG